GAUGAACGCUGGCGGCGUGCCUAACACAUGCAAGUCGAGCGGACAGACGAGGAGCUUGCUGCUCUCACGAUAGCCGCACACGUGUGAGUCACACGUGUAUAACCUACCUAUCUGUCUGGUAUAACUUCGAGACACCGGCUCUAAUCCCGGAUAAUCUACUGCUCCGCAUUGUUCAUUAGUGAGAUACGGCUUUUCUGUCGGUUGGGGAUGGAUCCGCGGCUUAUUAGCUUGUUGGUGGGGUAACGGCUUACGAAGGCUUUGACGGGUAGCCGGCCUGAGAGGGUGACCGGCCACAUUGGGACUGAGAUACGGCCCAGACUCCUACGGGAGGCAGCAGUGGGGAAUAUUGCACAAUGGGCGGAAGCCUGAUGCAGCAACGCCGCGUGCGGGAUGACGGCCUUCGGGUUGUAAACCGCUUUCGCCUGUGACGGAGCGUGAGUGACGGUAAUGGGUAAAGAAGCACCGGCUAACUACGUG
rnacentral:rRNA from 1 species